GAAAUGAAACUAAACCCUAAAACUUAAAAGUAUUAUACGUAUAGGAAUACGAGAUUAACGUCUAAUCAUUAAACGUUAAUUAUUUAUCAGACGUGUCAGCAAGCAGAGAGGUCAGUAGACGUGGGAUAGCGAGGGCAUAUCAUUUCAUCGACCACAUUAUUGAUUGGAUUGCGGUCACUGUACUUAGUAUGUGGACCUAGCUAGAGGCCAAUUUUGAAGUCCAGAAGUCAGUUGUAUAUGUUUAGUAUCUGACUUCUGUGAAUGCUGCAGUAGUGGUCCCGUGUUGACAGAGUCGUAGCCUAGACAACAGUACAUUUUGAGUGUACAUAUUACUUGCUGUCCUGUUUAUAUGUUUUUGUAGGCUACGUGUUUUAUAUGUUGUGCACGGCACCAGAUGCCGGUGAUAUGUUGGAUACACUAACUGAUGGAUAUAGUACCGCGAGGCCAGUUCGUACAGGGUACGGUAACUAGAGCCCGCGAGGUUUUUGAACAGUUAGUGUAAAUGUUUGUGUAUACAUGUUAUGUAUACUUGGCUUCCGUUGUUUACUGUUGUUUGUUUA